AUGUAGAGGGAAAGAGUGGGUGAAUAUAAUUAUCUCGGUCUAACUUAUACUGUUUAUUAUACCGCUAUUCGCAGCAAUAUCUUUCUCUGCUCCGAUUGCAACGCUGCCUCGUUCAAAAAUCAUAACACCGCCGCGGCCGCCACGUUUAUCAGCCGGAGCCUCAAAUCAUGUCCCUUUGUGGUGAAAAAGAGGACGUAGCCUGGUGUGAAGCUACAUUUACUACGGAAGGAUGCCAGCCGGGGAUCCAAACACGUUCGAUAUCAUCCAAGAGAAUGUGGCAGAUGAAGGGGAGAGUCCAAGAAAGAGGCCAAGGGUGAAGACAUUUAGCCACCCCCUGAAGUACAUGGCAGCAUCCAACCCUCUUGCUAUAUAGGCUGCAGGAAUGUGCUCCCCAUUGCAGUGCACCAGCUCCAUGUACUGAUUUUGGAUGUGAACUUGAUGGGGUUGGAGGAAACUCGACUCGGCCAUCAAGCUCACGACAAUAUAACAUGAAAAGUGAAAAUUGCUGCACAAAACAGUCUUUCGUCUGCACCGGGAGGCAAGGCAGCUCAAAGCCCAGGCUAUUACAGCUCCUGGGCAGUUUUUGCCCAGAGCCAGCAAUUUUUCAGAUCCAAUAGGGGUGGAUUUUUUCUAAGGUCAGGUUCAACAUGCUGCAAGAUGCCAAGAUCUAAGCCUAGUAGGAGAUAUGGGUUACAAGAGAGGAGGUUUGCUCUGGCCUUAUACUAUCAAAGUCCAAAUGCUAAUAGAUUUCUAAGCACAGUAUUUCACUUGCCUUCAAUUUCAACACUUCACCCAUGACUCAGGGGUAUUUCAGUAAAUGUUGGCUGGAGCAAACAGACUCUUACAGCCCUGCAGCAAAGAGCACAGGCUUUGUCAAAAGAAGAGAUACUUCGUGGGAUUUGCCAUUAUUUAGUAUUACUCUUGUUACGCCAAUAAUUUUUUCCAUAUACUUUGCCAAAUAUUGCAAGUAAUGCACCAUUGUUGGUCUUGCCUGUUAUAAAUCAGAUCUUGUUCAAUUAACAACCUUUGGGUGUCUGCCACUUUCCAGUUGUAAUGCAAGGAAUCAUUUAUCUCCCCUGCCAGAUAUUACAUGUAAUGCACCAUUGUUGGUUUUGCCUGUUAUAAAUCAGAUCUUGUUCAGUUAACAAGCUUUAGGUGUCUGCCAUGUUCCAGUUGUAAUGCAAGGAAUCCCCUGCCAGAUAUCGCAUGUAAUGCACCAUUGUUGGUUUUGCCUGUUAUAAAUCAGAUCUUGUUCAGCUCACAAGCUUUGAAUAUCUGCUAUUGUUUAUUUCAGGUGUAAUGCUUGGAAGCAUUUGUUCUCUCCCCUACCCAACAGUAUGCAAUGCUUUAUUGUGGAUUUUGCCUGUUAUGUUUAAUCUUGUUCAGGUAACAAUCUUUUGGUGUCUGCCUUACCUAAUAAUGUGCUGCAGUGACACUUGGCUUGGUUUCAUGAUGUGAAAUUCAGCAUGUAAUUUCAUCACACUAAGUGUCUAUCAUCACAUGUCUGGCAUCAUUAAUGUGGCUUCCAGGAGUAAUCUUGUUUGUAUUACAGCAUGCAAUGUUUUUUUCUGAUUUAUAUGAUAUACAUAAUAACAUAGGUAUGAUUUUUUUUGACAAAAUGUAAUGGCAGUUGAUAUUCUUGACUAAUGCCUCAUAAACCUUUUGAAAAAUAAUGCUUUUUUGAGGGGGGUGGGGUGGACAGAGAUUGGAUUGUUUGGAUGGCCAGUUCAAGGAGUUUCAUAUCAAAUGAUUUUAUUACAUCCAACUUUAAUGUGUGCUAAAAACAUAUAUUUUAUUACAUCCAACUCUAAUGUGUGCUUCCUGCAAUAAAUGCUACAUGUUUACUGAUGUAGCCUAUGAAAUACAUAUCACUCUCUGCCCUGUAAUUUGGUGUGUCACAUAAUGCAGCAUAACUUUCCUGAUAUUUUAUUUCACUAUGAGUUGCCUUAUUUUGUCUCAUUUGCUUUUAUCAUAUGUGCCUCUGCUGCAUAGUUGUGCAUACUGAGCUUAAUAUCUUCAUGACCCUGACACCAAGGUCAGAGCUUGAGAUCAUACCGUGCCCUACAUCCCAUUUUCACCUCCAGGCUCGGCUGUCUCCCAGGACCACCAAGUUAUUGCAUUCCAUUUAAGACAACUCAUGUGUUACCUUCUUGAUGUCCUCCAUCAUGUAUUUCAGCAUGUUUUAUGAUGCUUUGCUCUUAUAUUGAUGUGCCUUGCAACAUUUUUAUACAGUUUUUAUUGUAUGUAAUGCACCAUUGUUGGUUUUGCCUGUUAUAAAUCGGGUCAUGUUCAGUUAACAAGCUUUAAGUGUUUCCCAUUGUUUAUUUCAUUUGUAAUGCUUAGAAGCUUUUGUUCUCUGCCCUGUCAUACAGUGUGCAAUGCUUGCCAUUAUCUGGCACUUGUACAGUUAGUAUGAUAUUUUCACUCAGCUAAGAGCAAGUUGCAAAAGGCAAAGGUACGGUUGGGGGCAUACACUGUAGCAGCAUGUGGCCUCGGUGCUCAUCUCCGUAACAUUGGCCCUUGAGCCUGUGGUGUUAGGGAACCCAUUACCCUGGGACACAGGACCAGUGUGACAUCCGGGUUGCAAAGGCAUUAUAAUAUUCUAGCAUGCAUAGAAUGCUGUAUGCUUUGCUUGUAUUUAAAUCACUGGAUAUG